rnacentral:rRNA from 1 species
CCUACGGGAGGCAGCAGUGGGGAAUCUUGCGCAAUGGGCGAAAGCCUGACGCAGCCAUGCCGCGUGUAUGAUGAAGGUCUUAGGAUUGUAAAAUACUUUCACCGGUGAAGAUAAUGACUGUAGCCGGAGAAGAAGCCCCGGCUAACUUCGUGCCAGCAGCCGCGGUAAUACGAAGGGGGCUAGCGUUGCUCGGAAUUACUGGGCGUAAAGGGAGCGUAGGCGGACAUUUAAGUCAGAGGUGAAAUCCCGGAGCUUAACUUCGGAACUGCCUUUGAUACUGGGUGUCUUGAGUGUGAGAGAGGUAUGUGGAACUCCGAGUGUAGAGGUGAAAUUCGUAGAUAUUCGGAAGAACACCAGUGGCGAAGGCGACAUACUGGCUCAUUACUGACGCUGAGGCUCGAAAGCGUGGGGAGCAAACAGGAUUAGAUACCCUGGUAGUCCACGCCGUAAACGAUGAUUGCUAGUUGUCGGGAAGCUUGCUUCUCGGUGACGCAGCUAACGCAUUAAGCAAUCCGCCUGGGGAGUACGGUCGCAAGAUUAAAACUUAAAUGAAUUGACGG